rnacentral:rRNA from 1 species
UACAGAGGAUGCAAGCGUUAUCCGGAAUGAUUGGGCGUAAAGCGUCUGUAGGUGGCUUUUUAAGUCCGCCGUCAAAUCCCAGGGCUCAACUCUGGACAGGCGGUGGAAACUACCAAGCUGGAGUACGGUAGGGGCAGAGGGAAUUUCCGGUGGAGCGGUGAAAUGCGUAGAGAUCGGAAAGAACACCAACGGCGAAGGCGGCUAUCUGGACGGUUUCUGACGCUAAGACGCGAAAGCGUGGGGAGCAAACAGG